rnacentral:lncRNA from 1 species
GAUUAAAUUGAGAUUUUUUAUAUUUGUUCAUCCUUGAUUGGAUAAAGUUAACAUGAUUGGACUGAUCCAAAUUAUAGGAUACGACUACGAUUCAUUAUCUUCGUUAAUUAUUUAUGUCCUUUCUAAUUAUUGGACUCAAUUAUGUUUAGGGGUGUAGUUGUCUCGAAAAAAAAUAUCCAACAGAGGGAUAAAUAAUGUGAGAUAAAUAAUAUGACUCUUUUUGAAUCAAAAAUUUUGAAUCAAAAAUUUUGAAUCAAAAAUUUUGAAUCAAAAAUUUUGAAAAGAAAUUUAUGAAAUUAUAUGAAUUUGUUGAAAUACGUGUGAGAUAAAUA